rnacentral:rRNA from 1 species
UACGAAGGGGGCUAGCGUUGCUCGGAAUCACUGGGCGUAAAGGGCGCGUAGGCGGUUCGUACAGUCAGACGUGAAAUUCCUGGGCUCAACCUGGGGGCUGCGUUUGAUACGUGCGGACUUGAGUGCGGAAGAGGGUCGUGGAAUUCCCAGUGUAGAGGUGAAAUUCGUAGAUAUUCGCAAGAACACCAGUGGCGAAGGCGGCUCACUGGCCCGGUACUGACGCUGAGGUGCGAAAGCGUGGGGAGCAAACA